rnacentral:sRNA from 1 species
AGUGUAAUCAAAUUCCAGAUAUAAAUCAGUUAGCGCAAGGCUCAUUAGUGGGCCAUUCCCCUAAGCCCGACACAGGAAUCGUUUCGGGCUCUUUUUA